CCGACAGCAGACUGCGAAGGACAUUACCGAGUUUUGAAGCGGAGGCUUGCUGCUGGUGCGGAAACGCACAUGUGCACGGCCUUUGCACUCAAAUCCAAACUCAAACCCCUGUGCACUCAAUAACAGUUGAACCUAGUAGUCUUUUGUUCGUUCACUACAAAGAGCUAGUAUACCGAAUCAGUAGACUAGUAGGAAGAGCCUUGACGGCUCUUUCGAACGUUGAAAGUAAGGGGGAAUGUUCGAAGUGGUGGGGUUUAAUUACAAGAGGCGAACGGUUUGGCUUGUUUAUAUUACAAACACUUUGUUGUUAUGUGAAUGUAAUGCUCCUUGUGGGCGAGAAUUGAAAUACAACUUUCAACAACGGAUCUCUUGGCUCUCGCAUCGAUGAAGAACGCAGCGAAAUGCGAUAAGUAAUGUGAAUUGCAGAAUUCAGUGAAUCAUCGAAUCUUUGAACGCACCUUGCGCCCCUUGGUAUUCCGAGGGGCAUGCCUGUUUGAGUGUCAUGUUAAUAUCAAAUCACUUGUCUUGUUUAUUAAGACUCGCGAUUUGGAGUUGGAGGUUAAUGCUGGCCCGGGCAAUCGUAAUACGUUGCUCUUGGAUUUGUUGGCUCCUCUUAAAUGCAUUAGCUGGACUUUGGUUUGCGCUGUCGGUGUAAUAGUUAACACAGAUUAUGUUUCACCAAAGCGCUUGCCUAGUGGGUCUGCUUCUAGUCGUCCGUAAGGACAAGGAUCCUAUCUCGUGGUGGGCCUUCUUGACACCUUUGACCUCAAAUCAGGUAGGACUACCCGCUGAACUUAAGCAUACUA
rnacentral:rRNA from 1 species